AAAACGACUCUCGGCAACGGAUAUCUCGGCUCUCGCAUCGAUGAAGAACGUAGCAAACUGCGAUACUUGGUGUGAAUUGCAGAAUCCCGUGAAUCAUCGAGUCUUUGAACGCAAGUUGCGCCCAAAGCCGUCAGGCCGAGGGCACGCCUGCCUGGGCGUCACGA
rnacentral:rRNA from 1 species